rnacentral:rRNA from 1 species
GUAGGUGGCAAGCGUUGUCCGGAAUUAUUGGGCGUAAAGCGCGCGCAGGCGGUUCUUUAAGUCUGAUGUGAAAGCCCACGGCUCAACCGUGGAGGGUCAUUGGAAACUGGAGAACUUGAGUACAGAAGAGGAAAGCGGAAUUCCACGUGUAGCGGUGAAAUGCGUAGAGAUGUGGAGGAACACCAGUGGCGAAGGCGGCUUUCUGGUCUGUAACUGACGCUGAGGCGCGAAAGCGUGGGGGAGCAAACAGGAUUAGAUACCCUGGUAGUCCACGCCGUAAACGAUGAGUGCUAAGUGUUAGGGGGGUUUUCCGCCCCUUAGUGCUGCAGCUAACGCAUUAAGCACUCCGCCUGGGGAGUACGGCCGCAAGGCCG